UUUUAUUACUCUUUUCUUUAUGCAGUAUAGGAGUCAAAUAUAUUUUUGUCCUGUUGUGUCACAAAAUCACCUCAUGAGAUUUGUUAGGCCCUAUUUGGUUCAGCUUCUGCUGGCUUUUGCUACUCAGAAUAGAAAGCUGAACCAAACAAUCAGCUUCUAGAAAUGGCUUGUCCCUUCAUUCAGUUACUGAUUGAACUCUAAUGACAACCCUUUAAGUUAAUAUAUAUCCUUCUCUAUCUGUGACGGAAUCUUCCAAGUUACAGUCUAUUAUGUUUUCUGUGAUUUUGUGUUUUUUAUCUGUUUUUUGUGAUCCGAUCCUUUCCUGUAAUAUUUUUGGUAUUUUGGAUCGUUUACUGUAAUGUUUUUGGUAAUUUGGGGACUGACUUAUUGGAGAAGAUUGCAUGUAUUGGAUGUAUCUAAACAUAUAUCAGCUUUACUAUGCAAUGAUAUUUUCGUGCAUGUAAAUAUAAAUAGCAUUAUAGUCAGGAAAAUGAUCUGGAUUCAGAUCUUUCAAUAUGUUCAUAUUAUUUUCGUUUUUAGUAAUGACUUAUUAAAUACAGGCAUAUAAUAUGCCAAAGUAUAUUGUAUUGAGAAUGUAGAAGUAGAUAUUGUACUAAAGGAUUUCUUUGUACACAAUAUUUUUUGCCACAUUUUCUUGUGGUGAUUCUUCAUUGGAGAUUAGAAUCUUAAGUCCUUCUCUACUUGUGACGUGUGAAACAGCUACAUACAGUUGUCCGUGUGUAAAUACUUGCUUAGGUAAAUAGAGUCCAACCUUUUUCAGUGACUGCCCCUGACUCUUGUUUAUUGACAUCGCGAAGCAGACAGAUACAGGGUACUGCCUUCUUUUUAACAAAAAUAGCCAUUUUGAUUGUGUUGGUGACAUUAUAAUCCAAGGAAUGUGGACCUUAUUUCCAAUAUUUGUCCCAUAUUGGAGAAGAUUGCAUGUAUUGGAUGUAUCUAAACAUAUAUCAGCUUUAUUAUGCAAUGAUAUUAGCAGCAUGUAAAUAUAAACAACAUUAUAGUCAGGAAAAUGAUCUGUAUUCAGAUCUUUCAAUAUUUGCAUAUUAUAUUUAUUUUUCUUAAUGACUUAUUAAAUACAGGCAUAUAGUAUGCCAAAGUAUAUUGUAUUGAGAAUAUAGAAGUAGAUAUUGUACUAAAGGAUUUCUUUGUACACAAUAUUUUUUGCCACAUUUUCUUCCGGUGAUUCUUCAUCGGAGAUUAGAAUCUUAAGUCCUUCUCUACUUGUGACGCGUGAUACAGCUACAUACAGUUUUCCGUGUGUGAAUACUUGCUUAGGUAAAUAGAGUCCAACCUUUUUCAGUGACUGCCCCUGACUCUUGUUUAUUGUCAUCGCGAAGCAGACAGAUAUAGGGUACUGCCUUCUUUUCAACAAAAAUGGCCAUUUUGAUUCUGUUGGUGACAUAAUCCGAGGAAUGUGGACCUUAUUUCCAAUAUUUGUCCCAUUUAUGAUUUGUGCUUCGAUGAACCACUUCCCUAGCUGCGUUAUAGUUAGCCUUGUGCCAUUACAUAGACCUGCACUUUUAUUGAUGUUUCUCAGCAGCAUAUUGGCAAUCCAACUUUCAAUCGUAACUUGUGGUUCGGUGUUCCAGGGAAUUUCAAGCUAUUAAGAAAUUCUGUUGGAUACAAAUGAUCAUCAUUUUCUUUUGUUGAUAUGGCUUUGCAUACUGUAUCUGAGCUUAGAUAUGUUAUUUCUUCACCGGGUAUUUCAUUCAUUAUGUAAUAGUUUAUCUCGUCCACUGUCUCAUUUCUUGGACAUAGUAUGGCUCUUUCUUCUAGGUAUCUCCUAUUUUUGUAGUUUCGUGACAGGUCAGGGUAGGUGCUGUUUACAAUUGUCUCCAUUUCGUUCUCUCCUUUUUGUAGAAUCAAGUCUUCUGGAAUUUUUAUCCAAGCCUCAUCGUCAUUAUUUCUUGCUAAACCAUCGCCAAUUCUAAGUAUCCAUUCUGCAAAUUCUUUGGUCUGCUUCUGUUCUUCUAGAGAAUCUGUAUUUGCAGUCAAACGCAUAUUUUGCGUGAGCUUAAUUUCUUCAAAGUGCUUCCAUAAGUAUGAACGCUUUAAGGACGCGUCAACAAUAUGAGAUCUUCGUCCUUUAGGUAUGACAGGUAGGGUCUGUCUAAAAUCUCCUCCCAUGACUAUUGUGAUCCCUCCAAAUGGUUUUUCUUUGCUAUUGGCAUUUGUAAAUCUCAGAAUGUCCCUCAAGGUUUUGUCUAAUGCCUCGUAGCAGUACUUGUUUGUCAUAGGUGCUUCAUCCCAUAAUAUCAGGGAUGUCUUGUUUAGUAGUUCUGCAAGAUAUGAUCCCUGCUUGAUAUCACACGUUGACUCAUUAUUUAUUUUCAAUGGGAUGUGGAACCUUGAGUGCGCAGUUCUUCCACCUGGUAAAAGAAGUGCUGCUAUUCCACUGGAGGCCACGGCUAAAACUAUUUUUCCUUCAGAUCGCAGCCUUGUUGUGAUAGCCUUCCAAAGAAAUGUUUUGCCUGUUCCGCCAUAUCCAUUUACAAAUAUAAGUUUUCCAAGCGUAUUUUUAACUGAUUCUGUUAUUGCAUCAAAUGCCUUUCUUUGAUCAAGAUUUAAUUUACCGAACAUUUUCAUGCUCUCUUUUUCUAGAGCACAUCUGUCAUAGUUUAGCUCCUCAUUUAGCAACCUAUUUCUUAGACCUUGCAUUACAGUGUUGUCUGGUAAUGGCAUUCCAUCGAAGUCCUUUAAAUUUUUUCCACCUUUUCUAAGCAAAUCCUCUAUUUCAAUGAGUGUAAGAUUCCUUAUUUGAUCUGGCUGUAGCUGUAGUGUAUCGAAAUUCAGUAUUCUCCUUUGUCGCCUUUGGAUGUCCUCGGAGAGUAGUUCCCAAUUUGAUUCCCACAGUUUGUCUGGGUGUGUGACCUCACAGAACAGCAGUAUUGUGCAAAAAAGUUGGUGCAUUUGUGCUGCAGAAGCCCAAAAUGAUGCCUCUUUGAUGCAUUCAUCCCACUCGUUGUCAUCAUCUAGUAAACCAAGUGCGUAACACGCUGAUUUGUAAGUUGGGUGGACAAUACCAUUCACUGUUCUGAUGUCUUUGAAUGAUUUGCAUCCUUUGACGAUGUUUAGCAGUAUUCUCAUGUAGUACCUUUCACCACUUGCGGGAUGGGCGUAAUAGAUCCUUCCUAUUGAUCUUUUUCCUCCACGUCUCAGUCUCCAUUCCUUUUCCUUUGAGUGCCAGGUCCACUUUGUUGGAAAUUCUGCAUAUGUUAGUUUGCGUGCAUCUUCGUGCAAUCGAUUAGCUGUCAUCAACUCUGUGAAAAUUGAGCUCUCUAUGCCAGGCCGAUAUACAAUCUCCUCAAGAUCAGUAGAGUCAGGAAACACGACUACCUGUUCAUUUUCAAGGUGGAACUGUAAUCUCUGGACAGAUGGCUCUCUGUGUUGAAGUUCGAAUCCAAAUAUACGCCAGGAUGCUUCUCCUGCUGAUAAGUACCGUGCAUCGAGGUACAUUUGUAUUUCAUCAUUCUUAUCUGUUGCAGUUAGUUUUGCAGUUGCUCUAUCAUCUCCUUUGUGUAUGUAUUUGAAUAGGUAUUUUAUGGACCUUGAUUUAUUGCACCACUCAACGUUUAUGUGUGCUUGAUACUUGACUAUCAGAUCUCUAUUGUAUGGGACGACAUACCGAUUGUCCAGUCUUACUCUAUCUACUUCUACAGUUCUCCCAUCAUCUCUUCUUCUGUAUAUUGGAUAACCUUCCUCAUCUAAUGUUGUCUCUUGACAGAACAUCUUGGGGAAAUGUUUUGAGCAUUUUCUAUCAAUCAUGCAUGGUGAUUUAUGAUUUGCCUCUCCACAUGGUCCAUGCAUCAUGAAAUUUUUAACAGCCAUAUUACCUUCUGGAUCCUCAUCCUUGUCUGGGAUCUCUGCUGAUAUGAUCAUAUCAAUAUUAGAAGGGUUGGGGUCCCUGACUUCUGGGUCUAGAAAGAUCAGUAUGUGUGCAUGAGGAAGUCCUCUUUUCUGAAAUUCAAUUGUAUACACAACUGCAAGAGAAAAUUUUUAAUAUUAUAUUUAAUAAAGUGAUGGAUACACAAUUUGAUAGGGGCCAAACAAUUAUUUUAAUAAAAAUUGAUUUAAUACCUGCUAUUGUGCGGCCAAAGUACUUGUUUUUUUUAUGUCCUCCGUUAUUAGUUGAUGCAAUUUAAUGUGGAAUACUCUAUUGCAAAUAUCAGGACGGUCUUCUGGCUUCUGACCUGGUAUGUAGUCCAACAUGUAUUGUAUUUCAUGCCACUUUGGGUUACAUGUGAAAGUGACAAAUAGAUCCGGAUAUCCAGCCCAACGACAUAUUGCCAUAGCAUCUUGGUAGUACUGCUGUUUAUUUCUUGGACUGCCUGUACAUGAUGAAGGAAGUAUCAUUCUCUUACCUACCUGUUCAGUUCUUGUGUCACCUUUGUCAAGGGCAUCUUGAAGCCCACUAUACAGCUCUGUCCUUAGUCUGCCUUGAUGCAUCCUGUACCAAUUGAGUCUCCAUUGUUCAAUGCAUGCUGCUGCGUCUACUAUGAAUUGAAGGAACAAUCGACCACUCAUUAGCAGCACAGUUGACUGAUUCAAACGUUGUUGGAUGCGAUAUGCAUAAUAUUCCAUCAUGGUGACAUGCUUCCUCUCACCUUCAUGGACCUGUAUGUCUUCAUAUGGUAUUUCAGAUCUAAAUCCGUCCUCCCCAUAUGGGAAGAUCAAUGGGUAUUGCAUAGACAUAAAGCUCGGAUGCAAUUCUGAAAUUCUUUGGAGUUGUUUAUCCUUGUCUUCCACUAUGAUAUCCCGUUCAGAAGUUUCAUCAUUUUGAUCUCCCAAAAGAAGUGCUGCAAUUUCGGAGGCAGUGGUCGAUCUCAUUUGGAGAUUCCAUAGUUGAUCUACUGGAAGGAACCUUUGAACAGAAGAAUGGAUUGCUAUAUGGAUGGGGAAAAGUCAGAACAUAAACAUGAAUGCUUAGGUGGCAAUCAAAUGGGACAAAAAAGGAAAAUAUUAGAAGAUAUUAGAAGCCAGUGAUACCAACCUGACAGGUAAGUGUCGUUGUUGAUUCUUUUGGAAAGCAUAUCUGUGUUGAAGAACUUGAAACUAUAUCUUAGAAUCUCAUCUAUAUCUUUGAUCUUCUGCAUAGUAGUUGUGGUCAAGAAGUUCACUACCUUGUCGUUUUUCACUGGUCGAUAUGUUUUUGUUGCUGGUGUCACUUUAACAUUCGAUAUGACGUAAACAUUAUUUUCUUGAAUCAAAGAUUUGAAUUUUUCCAUAACUGCCUUAUUGAUAACUCCGUGCACCAUGGUACCCUAGAUUGUCAUCAUCAUUAGCUUGUAAUCUGAAAUAAACUACAAAUAACUUUUAAUUACAAUGAAGAAUCUUUUUACCUCUUCAUCAAUAAGGAUCAUGUCAACACUUAAAAGUUAACCACUACUGACCAAGAUAGCAUCCCAUAGUCUUGUUACCCUUGCUUUGAUUUUCCAUAGCUCCUUUCCUGGCCUAAUUUCACUUAAAGCUUUGUACAUCAUUGCAACUUGUGAACUGAAACUUCAGGUAUAAAAAAAAACAUCAAGAAAACACGCAAUGGAUAGAAGAUGAAAACACCUCUCAGAUCUUUGGGUGUACAAAUGUAGAAUAUGAAAACACUUGUCAUAGAAAUAGAAUACUAAAGCACCUGACAGAUUAAUACUGCACGAAUCUGCUUGAUGUCCCUGCCCUGUUUGAUGUUCCUGCCCUGUCAGAGAACCUGACAGAUUGAAACUGGACAAUGCUUGAUGUCCCUGACCUGCUAGAUUCUUUUGGUGAAGUAGUCUUAUCGUUGUAUAUAUUAAGGUUUCUUUUGGUGAAGAAGUCUCAUCGCUGUAUAUAUUAAUAUGUUCUAUAUUCGAUUCGGAGAUUGAUUUGUAUUUGAUUUGGAGAUUGAUCCGUAACUAAGUUGGAGUCUGUGUGGGAGACGAAGUCUGUGUCCUGGAAUUUAUGCUUUUUCUUAGUGUCUUGCUUGUGUAGCACAUAGUGAGCUGUGUUAUUUCAUUUUUCAUUUUCCGGGGCAAUACCAUAUAAGGUGGAGCGGCAAAGAGGGGUUUUUGCAACACUAAGUUGGAGUCUGUGUGGGACAGUGCAUAGUCAUCUUCCAUAUACUGCAAGAUUGAUGCUGGAGUGCUAAUACCUUUCAAGAUUGAUGCUGGAGUGCUAAUACCUUUCAUCUAUCAUUUGUUCCCUGACAGCCUAUGGAAAUUUAUGUUGAUGAUGAGGGAAAGUUGACCCUCCAUGGCCUUGUACAGGGCAAUACCAUAUAAGGUGGACCGUGAAAGAAGGAUUUUUGCAACACUAAGCAUAUUUGGCGAAAUUACAGUGUGCAACAGUGCAUAGGUAAUCUUCCAUAUACUGCAAGAUUGAUGCUGAUGCUCUUGAUUUUAACCAAGUUGUGAUAUUUGUCAAGAGUUUUAGCAGAGCUGCAGAACUGAAUAAGUUGCUUUGUGAGUGCAACUUCCCUUCAAUCUGUAUUCAUUCUGAAAUGAUCCAGGAAGAAAGAUUGAAACUGGACAAUGCAUACCUGCCAGAUUCUUUUGGUGAAAAAUUCUUACCUGUCAGAUAACCCACUUGCCAGAUUCUUUUGUUGAAAAAUUCUGACUUGUCAGAUAACCUGACAUAUUUUUGGUGCUUAGUCUUAUCGUUGUAUAUAUUAAGAUUUCUUGUAGUGAAGUCGUUGUAUAUAUUAAGGUUUCUUUUGGUGAAGAAGUCACAUCGCUGUAUAUAUUUUUUGUUUCGGAGAUUCAGCUGUAACUAAGUUGGAGUCUGUGUCGGACACGAACUCUAUACCUGAACUUUAUGAUUUUUCUUUGUAAUCUUUAUGGUUACGGAUUGUCAAACUAUCAAUUGAACGGUUAGAUGUUUUGCUUUUUUA